UACGAGGGGGCGAGCGUUGUUCGGAAUUAUUGGGCGUAAAGGGGUGCGUAGGCGGUUUGGGUAAGUUCUGAUGUGAAAUCUAUGGGGCUACAACCUCAUAGUCUGCAUCGGAAACUGCCGGGCUUGAGUGUGGGAGAGGUGAGUGGAAUUCCGUGGUGUAGCGGUGAAAUGCGUAGAUAUCAGGAGGAACACCUGUGGCGAAAGCGGCUCACUGGACCAUAACUGACGCUGAUGCACGAAAAGCUAGGGGGAGCAAACAGG
rnacentral:rRNA from 1 species